GCUAAAUUAGCUCAGAUGGCAGAGCAACUGAUUCGUAAUCAGUAGGUCGGGGGUUCGACUCCCCCAUUUAGCUCCA
rnacentral:tRNA from 2 species